rnacentral:pre_miRNA from 1 species
AUGUAAGGCAAUCUGUCUUUAAGUUAGGGUAAAUUACUCUAAAAGAAAUGAAUCCUAGAUAGUUUUCUCCCAUAUCAAGUGUCUUGU